rnacentral:rRNA from 1 species
GGAGGUGGCGAGCGUUGUCCGAAGUUACUGGGCGUAAAGCGCGCGUAGGCGGGUAAGUAAGUGAGGGGUGAAAGGCUGAGGCUCAACCUCAUGUUUGUCCUCUCAUACUGCUUAUCUUGAGUGAGGCAGGGAGAAGUGGAAUGGCUGGUGUAGCGGUGAAAUGCGUAGAUAUCAGUCGGAACACCGGUGGCGAAGGCGGCUUCUUGGGCCUUAACUGACGCUGAGGCGCGAAAGCUGGGGGAGCGAACGGGAUUAGAUACCCCGGUAGUCCCAGCCGUAAACGAUGGAUACUAGGUGUCGGGGGUAUCGACCCCUCCGGUGCCGCAGCUAACGCAUUAAGUAUCCCGCCUGGGGAGUACGGCCGCAAGGUUGAA